CGCGGGGUGGAGCAGCUUGGUAGCUCGUCGGGCCCAUAACCCGAAGGUCGUAUGGUUCAAAUCCUGCCCCCGCAACCA
rnacentral:tRNA from 1 species